UACGGAGGAUGCAAGCGUUAUCCGGAAUGAUUGGGCGUAAAGCGUCCGCAGGUGGCUGUGUAAGUCUGCUGUCAAAGAGCGAAGCUCAACUUCGUAAAGGCAGUGGAAACUACACGGCUAGAGUGCGUUCGGGGCAGAGGGAAUUCCUGGUGUAGCGGUGAAAUGCGUAGAGAUCAGGAAGAACACCGGUGGCGAAGGCGCUCUGCUAGGCCGCAACUGACACUGAGGGACGAAAGCUAGGGGAGCGAACAGG
rnacentral:rRNA from 1 species